AGUUCGGACUGCAGUCUGCAACCCGACCUGCACGAAGCUGGAAUCGCUAGUAAUCGCGGAUCAGCAUGCCGCGGUGAAUACGUUCCCGGGCCUUGUACACACCGCCCGUCACACCAUGAGAGUUUGUAACACCCAAAGCCGGUGGGGUAACCUUUUGGAGCCAGCCGUCUAAGGUGGGACAGAUGAUUGGGGUGAAGUCGUAACAAGGUAAC
rnacentral:rRNA from 1 species